UGCCAGCAGCCGCGGUAACACGUAGGAUCCGAGCGUUAUCCGAAUUUACUGGGCGUAAAGCGCGUGUAGGCGGCCGGGUAAGUUGGACGUGAAAGCUCCUGGCUCAACUAGGAGAGGUCGUUCAAAACUGCCUGGCUAGAGGGCGACAGAGGGAGGUGGAAUUCCCGGUGUGGUGGUGAAAUGCGUAGAUAUCGGGAGGAACACCAGUGGCGGAGGCGGCCUCCUGGGUCGCCCCUGACGCUCAGACGCGAAAGCUAGGGGAGCAAACGGGAUUAGAUA
rnacentral:rRNA from 1 species